rnacentral:rRNA from 1 species
CCUACGGGAGGCUGCAGUAGGGAAUAUUGCUCAAUGGGGGCAACCCUGAUGCAGCUAUGCCGCGUGGAGGAUGACGGUCUUCGGAUUGUAAACUCCUUUUGUUAAAGAAGAUAAUGACGGUAUCUAACGAAUAAGCAGCGGCCAACUCCGUGCCAGCAGCCGCGGGAAUACGGAGGGUGCGAGCGCUACUCGGAAUCACUGGGCGGAAAGGGCGCGUAGGUGGGUGAGCAAGUCAGAUGUGAAAUCCUAUGGCUUAACCAUAGAACUGCAUUUGAGACUGUUAUUCUAGAGUGUGUGAGAGGGAGGUGGAAUUCUAGGUGUAGGAGUGAAAUCCGUAGAGAUCUGGAAGAAUACUGAUUGCGAAGGCAGCCUGCUAGGACGCAACUGACGCUGAUGCGCGAAAGCGUGGGGAGCAAACAGGAUUAGAUACCCGGGUAGUC